CACCUCUAGCAUUUCCAGUAUUAGAGGCACUGCCUGCCCGGUGACACUAGUUAAACGGCCGCGGUAUCCUGACCGUGCAAAGGUAGCAUAAUCAUUUGUUCCCUAAAUAGGGACUUGUAUGAAUGGCCACACGAGGGCUUUACUGUCUCUUACUUCCAAUCCGUGAAAUUGACCUUCCCGUGAAGAGGCGGGAAUACAACAAUAAGACGAGAAGACCCUAUGGAGCUUCAAUUAAUCGACUCAAAGAGACUCCACUAACUAACCGACAGGAACAACAAACCUCUACAUGAGCCGACAAUUUAGGUUGGGGUGACCUCGGAGAACAAAACAACCUCCGAGUGAUUUAAAUCUAGACUAACCAGUCAAAAGUAUUACAUCACUUAUUGAUCCAAAAACUUGAUCAACGGAACAAGUUACCCUAGGGAUAACAGCGCAAUCCUAUUUCAGAGUCCAUAUCGACAAUAGGGUUUACGACCUCGAUGUUGGAUCAGGACAUCCCGAUGGUGCAGCAGCUAUCAAAGGUUCGUUUGUUCAACGAUUAAAGUCCU
rnacentral:rRNA from 1 species